rnacentral:lncRNA from 1 species
CUCCUCUUACUGGCACACUGGACACUCGUUGUCCAGCGGUCACACCUUGGAAAGUCAGAUCGGAGGGUAGCAUCUGUGGGUCUUCCCACUGCGGUGAUCUCAGGAGUCGCUUUCUUCCCAAGUGUCCCCUUCCAACUCCCCACCACCACCGGAGCGCCUCCCCUGAGCUGCCCGGUGUGGCCCUGACGGACACCACCUCCUAAAACAGUGACCACAACCGCUGAAUCAGAGCUCACUAGGCCUCCCGGAUGGCCUGCUCACUCAACCCGGAGACAGUCCUCUGGGCAGCCCUCGGCCCUCCCCACUCUACAGACGGGUAGAGUGGGUCCCGGGGAAAGUCAGCGUUGAUCAAUGGGCAGCGGGGACUGGCAGCCAGGGGGUCAGGGUGCCACUGCCCUCCCCCCCAGGUGACAGUGACAGGUGUGUCCUGGGAGUUGGGAGGAUGAUGAAGAGGGGCCUUGUGCCUUUAAGCUCCUCAAGUCGCCCUCUUCCUGUCCCCUAGUGAGCUCCCGGCCUGGGGAGCCAGGACAGGUGAGGACAGCGCCCUAGCUGGUCCCCCAGUUGGACCAGAUGGCCUUCAAGGUCCCCCAACAUCUCCUCUUGGUUCCCUGGACACGCAGCCACAGGGUCCUUCAAGUUCCUGAUCGAACGUCGCCUCCCCACGAAGCUGCCCUGGAGGCCCCAGCAGAAAGGUGACCCUGCUGUCCCUCCCCAGGCCCCGCCGUCCUGCGAGGGCGGUAGUCGCGACUGCACUGGCCAUGGGCUGUGUCCCCUGCGCAGAGGCAGGAACUGAGCCCCACCCUAGGCCACUCCUUCAUGUCACCGGCUCAGGAGGUGCUGGGUGAACGGACGGACGGAGGGACGAGAGAAUGGAGGGAGGAGGAGGAGAGAAGAGGGACGCCAGAGGGGACAGACAGAGGGGGGC